GCCUACGGGGGGCUGCAGUGGGGAAUAUUGCACAAUGGGCGAAAGCCUGAUGCAGCGACGCCGCGUGGGGGAUGACGGUCUUCGGAUUGUAAACCCCUUUCAGUAGGGACGAAGCGCAAGUGACGGUACCUGCAGAAGAAGCACCGGCCAACUACGUGCCAGCAGCCGCGGUAAUACGUAGGGUGCGAGCGUUGUCCGGAAUUACUGGGCGUAAAGAGCUCGUAGGCGGUUUGUCGCGUCGUCCGUGAAAACUCGGAGCUUAACUCCGAGCUUGCGGGCGAUACGGGCAGACUUGAGUACUACAGGGGAGACUGGAAUUCCUGGUGUAGCGGUGAAAUGCGCAGAUAUCAGGAGGAACACCGGUGGCGAAGGCGGGUCUCUGGGUAGUAACUGACGCUGAGGAGCGAAAGCAUGGGUAGCGAACAGGAUUAGAUACCCGAGUAGUC
rnacentral:rRNA from 1 species